AUGCUUUUUUUAUUUUUUUAUUUUUUUUUAGAUCACCUGAGACAUUACAGCGAGGAAAAUGUGAUCCAAAAUCCUCUCAAUCACCCCCUGCUUCAAAGGCUAAUCGCCAACGCUCUGCACUGUUUCCACACUAAACGGACAAGAAUGAAGCUUCAAAUUGUACUGCCUGUCGAGGUAUGCUAUUUUUUUUUCUGAAUGUUCAGGGGCUGGAUUUACAAAAAGCAUCUUAAGAAAUAAGUUAAGAAAGUUCUUAUAAUUUCUACUUUAAAAUUUGACACUUAAUUCAACGUGUUACUUCCUGUUUCUUUGUAAUUAAUUGUGGAAUUUACUAGAUUUGAGUCAAAAUUGUUUCCACACCAUUUUUUUUUUCAGUUUAACAUUAAAGAAUAAUUUUAUUCUUAAGAAUAUUUUGUGAAUCUAAUCCUAGACUUCUCAUUUGAAAGAUAAAAUCAUAAAAGAGACUACAAAUCUUUUAUAUUACAGACAGAGAAAUCCAUGCCAUAUGCGGAGACUGGAACAUCAAGACUUCAGUAUGGGCUUUCAGCAACCAUUUACAUGGGAACCACCCACAAUCCCUAGCAACCACAUAGCAACACUAGAACACCUUAGCAGCUGCAUAGCAAUGUCCUUGCAACCACCCAAAGUGCUUUUUUUUAAUGUAAAUUCCAUUUAGAAUUUUUUCUAAAAAUGAUAGUUUUGUUUUAAUAUUUUUGUCUUUAUUCACCUUAUUCUUCCCGUAAGAGUGGGUUUUGUAAUUUUAUAAUUGUAAUUGUAAUUUGCCAUUUGUAAUUUUAAUGGGUCUGGCUACCAAUCUCAUCCAUGUCUAGCUAUUUUUUAGCUUUUCAAAACAGCUGGUUUUGCUGCUUGAUAUUGCAAAUUGGUGUGUCUUACCUUAUUUUAAUGUAUUAUCCUUAUUAUGAACACACUGGUUUGUAGUGCAAACAAUUUUACCGUUUACUGCACGUUGUUAUUCUUCUCGUUAUUCCCCUAUAGCGGCUAAUGAACCGGAAGUCUCACCCAUAGGCUUACUUCCGUGUUAAGGAAUAAGGUGGAUUGGAAAUGCAUUUGAAGGAUGUGCCUCCAAUUUCUUAGUGCCACCAGAGAUGUGCACAUAAUAUAUACUAAAUAAAGAUAGUAAUAGCACAGAUAGGCCAGGCCAGAGAGGAGAAAACAGAUGAGUGCUUUAUAAACCCCCUUCCCAGUCCUCAAAAAGAGAAGGAAGGGAAAGAAAGAAAAGAGGGAGAGAAAAAAGCUUAUUAUCUUGAUCAGCUGCUUCUUAGCUGACACAUAGGAACACUUUACUCAAGAUAAGGUCUAAUCUGGCUUACUGAAAAAAUGCACUUGUUUAUUUAUUUAUAUAUUUAGCUAUCUGCUCCUUCAAGGUUACGCUGCUGAGGUGGGUCAGUGAGUUUCUCUUUCAUCUCUGUUUUUCAGUCCUUUACUUGGUUGUUUUAUUUAGUCUUUCAUAUUACCUUUAUUCUAAUGCCAAAGUUCUCACUUUUAUACUUAUAAGUAAUGCCCUGAAGUAGUUGCAUGGCAACUAUUUGCAUGUUGUCCACAAGAAACAAUAGUAAUACACAAUGUUCCUGUCCAAACUUUGCAUAAACUUAAUUCUUAUGGAUUUUUUUUUUUGUAUUAUUAUUUGUCAUUGGAUUAUUUAUAAAGUACUUACAUAUGAUCAUAAUAAAUAAAUGUAAAUUAUAUAUAUAUAUAUAUAUAUAUAUAUAUAUAUAUAUAUAUAUAUAUAUAUAUAAAUCAUUUUAAAAUAUAUUAAAAUAGAAAACAGUUAUUUUAAAUUGUAAUAAAAUUGUAAUAAUAAUUCUUUUUUUUUUUUUUAAUAAAUGCAGCCUUAUUGAGCAUAACAGACUAUUAUAAUAUUAUAUAUUAUUAUUUAAUUUUGUAAACAUUUUAUUCUUUCAGAUUUAUAAUUCAUAUUUUUAAAUAAUAAACAUCUUUUGGAUUCUACAUGGGGUGUAAUUAAAAUAUAAAACAAAUUUUUUACUGCAUUUUUUUGUUUGCUGAGCAUACAAAACUGAUUCAAAAAGAUGGGCAUGUAUACCUAUGAGGAUAACUGUAUAUGCAUGAGGAUGCUUAAGAGAGAUGGAAAUCUAUAAGUACAUUAUAUGAAACCUUUGCUAAAGCUACAACUAAAAGUAAACACAAUUUCAGUUUUGCUCUUUUGACGGCUCCCCCUGAGUGCCUGAGUGGAAACACGACAGUGAUACUCAGUUGAGGACAGAGAAU
ensembl:lncRNA